rnacentral:rRNA from 1 species
GGUAAACGCUGGCGGCGUGCCUAAAACAUGCAAGUCGAACGGAUAGUUUUCGGACUAUCAGUGGCAGACGGCUGAGUAACACGUGGGUGACGUGCCUGUUGGUGGGGAAUAACUGCCCGAAAGGGUGGCGUAAUUCCGCAUACGCCUGUUUCUUCGUUUGAGACAGGAAAGCAGUGUGAACUGCGCCGAUGGAGCGGCCCGCGACCGAUUAGCUGGUUGGUGGGGUAACGCCUACCAAGGCGACGAUCGGUAGCUGGUCUCAGAGGAUGAUCAGCCAGACUGGGACUGAGACACGGCCCAGACUCCUACGGGAGGCAGCAGUUAGGAAUUUUGGGCAAUGGGCGAAAGCCUGACGCAGC